rnacentral:rRNA from 1 species
AACGAACGCUGGCGGCAUGCCUAACACAUGCAAGUCGAACGAAGCCUUCGGGCUUAGUGGCGCACGGGUGCGUAACGCGUGGGAAUCUGCCCUUUGGUUCGGAAUAACAGUUGGAAACGACUGCUAAUACCGGAUGAUGACGAAAGUCCAAAGAUUUAUCGCCAGAGGAUGAGCCCGCGUAGGAUUAGCUAGUUGGGGUGGUAAAGGCGCACCAAGGCGACGAUCCUUAGCUGGUCUGGGAGGAUGAUCAGCCACACUGGGACUGAGACACGGCCCAGACUCCUACGGGAGGCAGCAGUGGGGAAUAUUGGACAAUGGGCGAAAGCCUGAUCCAGCAAUGCCGCGUGAGUGAUGAAGGCCCUAGGGUUGUAAAGCUCUUUUACCCGGGAUGAUAAUGACAGUACCGGGAGAAUAAGCCCCGGCUAACUCCGUGCCAGCCGCCGCCGUAA